CAGAGGUUUAUAUCUCUAAUGUGAAAAAAGAACUCUUACAAAUUGACAAGAAAAGAGACAAACAUGGGUAUGAGCUGGGGUUCAUAAAAGAGGAAAUGCAAUGGCCCAAAAAAUUUAUAAAAAGCUUUUUGUAAAAGAAUGUCAAAUCUCACUAGUAGCUAAGGAAAUGCAAUUUAGCACAACACAAUAUUCUCAUUUAUUAGUAUAAUAAAUUAAAAAAUUUAUGGAAAUUUAUAAAAUUUAAUCAAAUUAGGUAUAAAAAUGGUAAGUUGUGAAUUGCAGUGUGCAAUGUUUCCGUAAUUUCCCUUUUGGAAAUCUUUCUCUAGAAAUGGAAAUGUUUCUAAGGAGAUACAGGCCAAGAAUGAUUUAGAUAUAUGUGUGGGCCUAGAGGAAUGUUCAUGGUACACAGUUGAAUGAAUACAGCAACAAGGGCUCCUGUAUAUUCUAUUGAAGCAACUCAAGGUGGGUUCCUGGGAUGGCUCCUAGAUGGCAGCUGGUCACCAGAAAGACUAAGCCAUGAUUAGAAGCUUGGAAUUUUCAGCCUUACCUCCCUCCUCAUCUUCCAGUGUGGGGCGAGAGGCUGGGAAUAGACUUAAUAAUUGAUCAUGUCUAUGUGAGGAAGCCUCCACAAAAUCCCAAUAGUAGUGGGCCUGGAGAACAUCCAGGUUGGAGAACACACCCUUAUACCAGGAGGGUGACAUACUACAUCUCCACAGGGACAGAAGCACCUGCACUUAAGAUCCUCCCAGACCUUGCCAUAUGUAUAUCCUCAUCUGGCUAUUCAUCUGUGUUCUUUAUCAUAUCAUUUAAUAAACUUGUAAAUGUAAAUAA